rfam:Populus trichocarpa isolate Nisqually-1 chromosome 13, whole genome shotgun sequence.
GAAAGCCGUGUGCAAUGAAAAAUGCAAGCACGGUUUGGGGAGGGUUUUUAAACUAUUUUUUAACAAAGAAAUUCUCUACUCCAU